GGCCGCGGGAUUAGAGUUUGAUCAUGGCUCAGAUUGAACGCUGGCGGCAGGCCUAACACAUGCAAGUCGAGCGGAAACGAGUUAUCUGAACCUUCGGGGGACGAUAACGGCGUCGAGCGGCGGACGGGUGAGUAAUGCCUAGGAAAUUGCCCUGAUGUGGGGGAUAACCAUUGGAAACGAUGGCUAAUACCGCAUAACGCCUUCGGGCCAAAGAGGGGGACCUUCGGGCCUCUCGCGUCAGGAUAUGCCUAGGUGGGAUUAGCUAGUUGGUGAGGUAAAGGCUCACCAAGGCGACGAUCCCUAGCUGGUCUGAGAGGAUGAUCAGCCACACUGGAACUGAGACACGGUCCAGACUCCUACGGGAGGCAGCAGUGGGGAAUAUUGCACAAUGGGCGCAAGCCUGAUGCAGCCAUGCCGCGUGUGUGAAGAAGGCCUUCGGGUUGUAAAGCACUUUCAGUCGUGAGGAAGGCGGUACAGUUAAUAGCUGUAUUGUUUGACGUUAGCGACAGAAGAAGCACCGGCUAACUCCGUGCCAGCAGCCGCGGUAAUACGGAGGGUACGAGCGUUAAUCGGAAUUACUGGGCGUAAAGCGCAUGCAGGUGGUUUGUUAAGUCAGAUGUGAAAGCCCGGGGCUCAACCUCGGAAUAGCAUUUGAAACUGGCAGACUAGAGUACUGUAGAGGGGGGUAGAAUUUCA
rnacentral:rRNA from 1 species